rnacentral:rRNA from 1 species
GACGAACGCUGGCGGCGUGCAUAACACAUGCAAGUCACGGGGGCCCGCAAGGGCAACCGGCGAACGGGUGCGUAACACGUGAGCAACCUGCCACCGUGUGGGGCAUAGCCGGCCUAACGGCCGGGUAAUUCCGCAUACGACCUUCUGGAGACAUCUCUAGGAGAGGAAACGAGUAAUCGGCACGGUGAGGGGCUCGCGGCCUAUCAGCUAGUUGGUGAGGGUAACGGCCCACCAAGGCAACGACGGGUAGCUGGUCUGAGAGGAUGGCCA